rnacentral:lncRNA from 1 species
GAGAAAUUUGUACUUGAAUUAUUGUUAUGGUCCAUUAAACUCACUCUAAAAACUUUAAUAUGUUUCUGCUUCAGAGACUUGUUUGUCCAUGUACAGCCAUGUAACCACACUAUUUACAAUGCCCAAAGAGCAAAUUGUUUGAUUCAGCUGCAGCAAUGGUCUUUCCACAGAGAAAGUUUGCAGUUUUCAACAGCCCUAAGUGCUGCAUUCUCCUAACUGAGGUAAAUACUCUGCAUUGUUUUCUUCCCAGGUGAUUCAAGCUGCAAGAUAGAUGACUAGGACUCAAAUACCGGAAAAGAGAGCUCCACAGAACUUUUUCUCCAAGUGUGUCACCGAGAAAUAGUCCUGAAAGCAGAAUACCCCAACUGGCACAAGAGAACCACUGAUUUGCUUCCUGUCACCACAGAUCGUGCACACUGAGGAAGACAGACAACAAAUAACUCUGCGGAUAGAUCAACAUAGUGAGGAACUGAGUUCUCCAAACAGCAGCUACAUGAGUGAGCCAUUCUGCAAAUGAAUCAUAAGCCCAGGCAAGCCUUUAUGUGACAACUGUUUGAAGAUAACCAUACAUAAAGACUUGAUCCAAAACCAUUCAACUAAAUCACUCCAGAUUCUUGACCCACCAAAAAAAAUGUGAGAUAAGUGUUUUGUUUUGUUCGAGUUGUUUUUUAUUUCUUUAAUUUUGGUAAUAUAUAUAUAACAAAAUUCACCAUUUUAGCCAUUUUUAAGUGUAUAAUUUAAUUGGCAUCUAGUACCCUGAUAUUUUUUUACUGCCAUCACCACCACCCAUCAAAAGAACUCUUUUCUUUUUAAUUUGAAAAGUAUUACUGUUAAUUUUACAUCAAAUGAUUCAUAAAAUUUACCAGUGCAGUCAUCUACUCCGGGCUUUUUUAUUUUUUUCCUUGAGAAGGUUUUGAUUACACAUUUAAUAUCUUUACUAAUUACAGGUUUAUUCAGAUUUUCUAUUUCUUCAUGACUUAUUCUUAGUAGAUUGCAUGUUUCUACAAAUUUGUCCAUUUCAUUAAGAUUAUCCAAUUUGUUGGCAUACAAUUGCUGGUAGUACUUUCUUAUAAUCCUUUUCAUUGAUGUAAAAUAAGUAGUAAUAUUCCCUCUUUUAUUUCUAAUUUUAGUUAUUUGAAUCUUCUUUUCUUCCCUUAGUUUGUUUAGCUAACGGUUGUCAACAUUCUUGCUCUUUUCAAAGAACCAGUUAUUGGUUUUGUUGAAUUUCUCUA